AGUUUGAUCAUGGCUCAGAACGAACGCUGGCGGCAGGCCUAACACAUGCAAGUCGAACGCCCUAGCAAUAGGGAGUGGCAGACGGGUGAGUAACACGUGGGAACCUUCCCUAUAGUACGGAAUAGCUCAGGGAAACUUGAAGUAAUACCGUAUACGCCCGAGAGGGGAAAGAUUUAUCGCUAUAGGAUGGGCCCGCGUCGGAUUAGCUAGUUGGUGAGGUAAUGGCUCACCAAGGCGACGAUCCGUAGCUGGUUUGAGAGAACGACCAGCCACACUGGGACUGAGACACGGCCCAGACUCCUACGGGAGGCAGCAGUGGGGAAUAUUGGACAAUGGGCGCAAGCCUGAUCCAGCCAUGCCGCGUGAGUGAUGAAGGCCUUAGGGUUGUAAAGCUCUUUUAGCAGGGAAGAUAAUGACUGUACCUGCAGAAUAAGCUCCGGCUAACUUCGUG
rnacentral:rRNA from 1 species